ACUGUAGACCCUGUUGAGAUCCUCCAUCACCUUUGGCAGCCGGACGCGGUGGAAAGUAUGGCGCCAGGCCUUCACGAUGAAUCCGUGAGAACCGUAGAAGGCUGGGUUCCAUACUGAGACCUAAGCGGUAUUUGUAUGUGUAUAGUCCACGGUAUAGCCUUAGAGCCCAUGUUUCCCCGGCAGACUUCUGCCUUCCCAAGAGGGUUUUAAUCACCUCCAAUUUCUCCAUAUACACCUAAAUGGAUGCUAUAUGUGUAUUUGCUUCCCGAAAACUCCUUUGGAAAAACAUACCAGUUCCACUUGGAACAGGGACGCUGUGGAAGCCCCAUCCUUCCCAGUGUUAUCCAAUCUUACUCAGUGAGGUAGUGCUUUGACAAUGGUGGGUGAAACUACUUGUUCCGAGCCCCGGCCUACACCAAAUAGGAGUGCAGGCGGCUCGCACGGGGCACUGGAAGGGGCAGCACCGUUAACCUGGUAUGCACUGCACCUGCUGCCUUAUACUCACGCUGUGAUCAGUGGCAGCUGGAUGCAAGAAUUGCAUGCCAUUGUGCAUUGGCUCGUGUAGUUUACACUCUAAGUAGAUUGGUCUAUCGAAGUGAUAUCCCAAUUCGUCGGUGACCUCCUUCAGGGAACGAGGGUUACCAUACGUAACAGAGAUGUUUCCUGCAAACAUUUUUCUGAGAGUAUGUCUAGUCCUUUUUCUCCCUCCCCCCAUCUGGGCACAUUCUCAGGAAUGACCUUCCCAAACUAAAAUAGUAACAGUUGCUGAAUAAUUUGGUCUACAUUCACAAUUUAUGUAUCUUUGGAAAGAAGACACUUUGAGCUUUACUAUCCAAAGUUGAUAAUGCUCAUAAAGAUAAAAAGUUAUAGGCGCUGAAGUACCUUGAAAAAAAUGUGUACUGCACUGAACUUUUUUUAUUUUAUAUACAAAUACAUCAAAUCAAUCCUGAGCAAUCCAGAAGAGUAAUGAUUUGAAAGCCACAUGUCUCGUGAGUUUAUAUUUCAAAUUUGAGGAAGACAAUAUGAAAAAUGAGUUUCCCUUAAACAUUUUUCUAAUACUAUGUAGUAGUUUUU
ensembl:lncRNA